rnacentral:lncRNA from 1 species
GUCUUACCUAGUCUUUAUGAAUAUAAAGAAUAUAAAUUAUGAGUAUAAUUACAUCAUUGUAUGUAUUUAUAUUGGAGGGACAAUUUUUUUCCUUCAGUUGACAAAAUAGAUAACUUUCUGGUAUCGAAUAUUAUUACAAUUAGACCUCAUUACUGCCAACAUUCUGAUGUACCAGGUAACCUUUUAAAAACUAGCCCAAGGUCAUUUUUAACUUGAUAUGUUCAGUGCACUUUCAUUCAUUGAAUAGUUAAUAACAGAGAUUGUUCAUUAUUUCUGCUAAUUACACCUUUAUCUAUCUUUUUCCAGUUCACAUUUUGUAUACUUCACUAUUUAUUAAAAUUAAAAAUACUAAAAAAAUUUGUUUAUUUGCUUUUCAUUUUAGAAAAGGAAAUGAAAUUAAGAGAUAAUUAAUUUUAUAUAGAAUUUAUUUCAUCAUGUCCUUCUUCUGUAAUGGCCUGGAUAGUGCAAGCAGCAAAUGUCAGUUUAUGAUUUCACAAAGAGGAUGGGAAAUAAAGUUAUUGAAACUGGUAAUGAAAUGACUUCUGGAUGUUAGUUUCCCUUCUCUUUUAGAGAUGCUUACCCUGAGUAGUUCGUUGCACUAAGGUAAUUGUAAUUACAAUAGGAAAUAAGGUUGUAAUACAUAACAAUUUAGCAAAUAUUUGAACAGAAAUUAAUGUUAACAUAAAAGGAAUAUCAAAUAAUAUUUGAGCAAUUUUAAUCACACUUAUUUUAGAAAGAGAAAAUAGCAUGCAAUUUUAUAAUUUUACCUGCAGUUUUUAAUGUUACAUUAAACUUGAUCACAUCAGGUUACUUUGGAAUAAUAAGAAUUUCUUGUUGAUUUCAUUUUUUUUUUUAAAUAUAUAUUUGUUCACAUUUAUAGGAUAUUACAAAUUUUACAGAUAUUCACUGGGCAUUUCCUUUGUUAAGUACAGGGCAUUAUUUAAUUAUUAAGUAAUCAGUAUAUACUUAUAAUUUUUUCACAGUAUGCUAACAUAUAAAAAAUGUAGUUGUUGUAUGUGUGGAGUAGUGAUGGGUUGGGAUUCUGCCAUUUUCUUUUUCCAUCCUGUGACUGGAUCUGUAAGUCCAGAUAGACUGACCCUGGGGACACAGCUUUUUCCUGGACCUCAAUGAUUUUAAUUUGGGAUAGAAGGGAGAAUUUCUAGGACUUUCCAUUCUACCUUUACUGAGAAAGGUAGAACUCCACUGCCAAACAAACAAAUCAACAAAAUUAGAUGAUAAGCCCUAAACAGAAAAAUAAGAUUUUUCAAGGAUCUUCUAAUUGGUGAAACUAGAUGUGUGUGUGUGUGUGUGUGUGUGUAUCGAUACAUAUAUCUAUACUAUUAGAAGAAUUUGAAUAUAUACACUUUUUUCUUCCUCCUAUCUUUUUCUGUUCAUUUUUGCCCCCUUCUUUUUUUAUUUCUUACUUCUUCCACUAUCAUUAUGUUCAUAAAAGAAAUACCUGCACAAACUACAAGUAGUUAUGUCUAAUUCCAUUUCUCACUGUAACUAUUGUUUCAAGGAACUUUUAUCCACUUUCUUAAUGGUAGAUAGAAAAAUUGUGCAUACUUGGGAGAUAGUAAAAAGUGCAUUAUCUUCAAAAUAUGCUGUAAUUUAUUAUUUUUAUUAUUUAGUUUGGUUUCCAUUUACUUUGUCAUUUCCUUAACUUGUAGGUAAUGUGAAGAAUUAUGCCCUGUUUUAACAUCCUACUGUAAAGUCUCCACAGAAUCAAGUUACAUUUUUAUACAUUGCUGUCCUUGACAAAUUAGCCUGCAUUGAUCCAUUUUUUUCCCAAAAUUUUUGAUAUUUUCUAAGUUUCAUUUCUAUUUUAAUUACAGAAUCAAAUGAUUUAAAGGAUCCUUGAUGAACAUUUAUUGUAUAUAUGUAUGACUGAAGCCAAGUGGGAUACAAAGAUGAAAUUUGCACAGACAUAAAGAUAAAAUUGUUUUUGAAGUAUUUGACAAUAAUACUAAUUAUUAAAGAUUUUUUUAUCAUUAUCAUAUAGGCCUAUACUAUGUAUGAUUUUUACUUAAUUGCUUUGAAUCCUCACAGAAAGCCUUUAGGAUAGAUUUGAUAUUUUUAUUUUAUACAAAGUAAGUUGUGAUUUAAAGAAAUAAAUUCAUUGUCCCAAUAUACACACAUCUAGUAUCUCACAAGGACUUAAAACUAGUUAUCCUACUUCCAAAUUAACAGGUCUUUCUAUCAUGAUCUACUGGCCUCCACAAAGGAAACCAUGUGAUAACAUAAAUUAUUACUAAGCCAUGUGCUACCACUUGUUUUAAUGAGUCCUAAGAGCAAAAAUAAAGGAAUAUUCUCUCACGGGAUAAAAGAAGUUAUAGAAGAAAUUUGUAGAGAAAUGAUAAUUUCUUUAAUAUGAUGCUGGGAAUUGAAUCCUGUGCCACAUGCAUGUCAAAUAAGCACUCUACUGUUGAGCACAUCCCUCACUCCAAGAAGAUAAAAUUUUGAUCAGGCCUGGAAGGAAAUAGUGGAUUGGUUGGUGAGAGAAUUUAUAUGGAGAAAACAACAUGGGCAUAACAUGAAAAGAUAAAAUUAAUAUGCAAAAGUUUAAUGGGUGAUUAUAUAAAAUUGGGAGACUGUUGGAAAAUAACUAUCAAGUUUUAGUCAUUAUUAAUGAGAAGAUUUUUGUAUCCUAGUCUGAUUACUUUUUUUAUUUUUAUCUAAAGUGCAAUAAGGAAACACUAAUUUAAACAGAAGAGUUGCAUUUAUGCAGAAAGAGUAGGUAUUCUUAAAUUCUAAAGAUUUGUAUUCUUCUAUUAAAUAGGAUAUUUGUACUUUUUCUCAUAGAUGCCCUGAUAGAUUGAGGGAGUUUCCUUCUAUGCUUAACUUACUGAGAGUGCAUUUGGGUGUGUUUUGUUUUUUGUUGAUAAUCAUGAAUAAAUGUUGAAUUUUGUCAAGUGCAUUCCCAUCAUUUAUUGAAAAGUUUUUUUUUUAUUUUUUAUUGCAAAUAUUGUGAAUUAUAUUCAUGGUGUUUCUAAUAUUCUUGGGCUAAACCCCACUUUUAACUGUAUUAUUGUAUUAGAUAUAUUUUGUUAAAGAUUUUUGACUUUAUGAAGGCAAUUAAUCUGCAGUCUUCUUUUCUUAUGUUAUCUUUCUAGUUUGGGUCUCAGGAUUAGGCUUGCCUCAUAAAAAUAGUUGGGAGAGGUUCCCUUAUUCUCUAUUUUUGAAAAAAAUGUGUUAGAUUGGCAUUUUUUUCUCUAUCUGAAAUGUUUGCAGAAAUUUAUCAGUGAAACCAUUUGAGCCUAGAGUUUCAUCUCUGGGAAUAACUUUAUUUUUAUAUAUGUGUGAUUUAGGGUUGGGAUUUUUUUUUUUUUUUUUUUUGCAAAUGUUAAUAAUUUGUUUCUUUUAAGUACUCUAUCCAUUUUGUGUAAAUGAUUUAAUUGACAUUAUGUUGUCUACUUUAUGUCUCUUAAGAUGAAUAAUGAUGCUUCCCCCUUUCAUCCAUAGAAUUUGUAAUAUGUGUCAUCUUUUUCUCUUUGAUGAGUGUACCUGGUGUUUAUCAUUUCAUUUACAUUUUCUGUUUUUUUUUUUGUUGUUGUUGUUGUUUUUUUAGAUUUCUCUUUCACUGUUUUUUUUAAUCAUUUCUUUCUUCCUACUUAUUUUAGAUUUAAUUUGUUAUUUACUUUCUAGAUUCUUAAAACUAGCUAUACUCUGAAAAUUUUCAUAUAUUUUGAGAAUCAUUCAAUUUAAAAGCUUUUCUAAUUUCCCUUUUCCUUUUAUGGAUCAUAGAUUAUAUUAAAUAUUAAUUUUAAAAAAUACAUCUUAUAUUUUUUUGAAAUCUUAUUUUCUUUGAUUUCAAUUUUUUGGGGGGGUUCUGAGAACAUGUGCUAUAUUGUCUUAAUCCUUUUAAAUUAAUUGGGAUUUAUUUUCAGCAUUUGAGCUUUCAUGAUGUAUGUUCAUGUGUACUAGGAAGAAUGUUUAUUCUGUUGCAUGGAGCAUCAUGUGAAAGUCGUUCAAGUUGAGUUGGUUAAUAAUUUCUACAUCUUCUCUUUGUCUUUUGAUACCUAUCAAUUAUAAGAAUAGAAUGCUGAAGUUUUCUUAUGAUUGGUGUUUGAAAGAUUCAUAUCUUUAUAUCAUUUUAUUAUUAACCUAUUUCUGUGAGUUUUAAAUAUGUUUUGAUAGGUAGCAUUAUAGUGGGAGCUCACAUUUUGCCCAUUCCAACAAUCAUGAUUUAAGUUUUGUACAUUAAAUAUAAUUAUUCAUAGAAUUUUGUAUUGGAUCUUAGCAUCUUGUUGUUUUCUAUUUAACCUAUCCAUUCUCCUUUCAUUUCCUUUAUUUCUUCCUUUAUAUAAUUUCUCAAAUAUUGGCUCUAUGUUUUUUUUUUGUCUUCAUUCAAGGAUUAAGUAUGUACAUUUAAUUUAUCACAGUCUGUGUUUAACUAAUAUUAUACCACUUAAUAUAUCAGAAUAUUGCAAAGUGUAUUUUUCAAAUUUCUUUUCCUGUUUUUUUUUGUGUGUUGUUUUUGUCAUACAUACAUUUCACGUCUACAUGUGUCCUAAACCUCAUUAUAUAAUAUUAUUUUUGAUUUACUUAGUCAGUUACCUUUUAUACAAAAAAUUUAAGUCCCUUUAUAAUUAUCUACAAAUUAAGCAUGUCUGAUGGCCUUCAUUUUUGUGUGUAGGCCCAGUUCCCAUCUGAUAUUAUUUUUCUUCAUCCUAAAGAACUUUAUCGUUAUCUUUUUUAGAUAUUUGUUGGAAAAGCAUUUCUAGGUCUAGAGAAAAAAAUGAUUUCCCUUCAUUUUUAAAGUUAUUUCAUUCAUUAUAGAAAUCUAGGUUGACUUUUUUUCUCUCACUACUUUAAAGAAAAAAAUAUGUAUAUAUAUUUAGUUGUCUUAAGCUUAUGUUGUUUUUGACUGAGAAGUGUUCAGUCAUUCUAAUAUUUCUUGUCCUGUCAAUUAGGGAUCUUUUUUUUCCUGUCUGCUUUAAUUUUUUCCUCUUUAUUACUGAUUUUCAGCAAUUUAUUUAUAAGGCUAAUCUUUUUGCCUAUACAUUAGUGUACAUUAAACUUCUUAGAUCUUUGCAAUUAUAGUUUUAAUUGAAUUUGGAAGAAAUUCUACCAUUUUUUCCUCAAAUAUGUUUUCUAUUACUUCUCUGGGACUCCUCCUAUAUGACAAGUUAGACUAUUUGAAAUUAUUCAUUGAUUCCCUGUUUUUUCUUUCUUGUCUUUGUUCUUCAUGACAGAUAAUGUUUAUUGUUGGGCUUUCCAGACAACUGGUCUUUUCUUCAUUAUAAAAAUUUGUUCACUUCCAGUGAAUUAUUCAUUUCGGAUGUUAUAUUUUUCCAGCUGAAUAAAUAGUACUUGUUUUUUUAUUUCAUAGCUUCUUUCUUUAUUUUCUCAUCAUUUUUAUGUUUAUAUCUAUUUAUCAUUAGCUAUUCUUGAGUCUGCCUACUACUUUUUGUCAUUUCUAGGUUUGUUGCUGAUAUGUAUCAUAAUCUUGAUUUCUUUUUCUUCUAGUGAUAUAUCACAUUUUUCUUGCUUCUUUAUAUGUCUGGUUUUUUUCAUUAGUUUCUAGGCAUUGUGAUUCUUAAAUGUCUAACUACUUUUUGUACAGUGUUCAUUCAAUUCCUUGUAAUUUAGCUUGAUCUUUUCAAGGCUUGUUUCUUGGCUUUGUUAAGAUAGGCCUAAGGUAGUUUUUACUCCAGGGCUAGUUUAGCCCUAUUACUAAGACUUGAUUCUUCUGGCAUGUGUAUAGAAUGCCCUAUGUGUUCACUAAAGUCUUUGCACUAUGGCUGGUCAGACCUUGAACUCUCUGCAUCUACAUAUGUGUAGCUUAGUAUUUAACAAUAGACUCAGGGGGAUCUCUAUGUAUAUUUAUGUAUCUAUUUCUCACCUAAGCCUUUCUCUGACAACUGCCACAAAUUGGAACUGCCUUAGACCUCCCCAGUUAUAGGCUCUCUGUCUCCUCACCUCAGUGUGAAAAUGCUUCUAGGUGAGAAGCCAGGAUCAUUGCAGGAUGUACUUUGUGUCUCGCUGAGUUACUUAGUGCCUCACAGUUGCUGAGGCUGGCUUUGAACUCGCAAUCCUCUUGCCUCUGCCUCCCGAGCAACGGGGAUUGCAGGCAUGCACCACCGCGCUCAGUUCCCCAAGGCAAAUUUUAUAUAUCAUGCAAUUCACCCAUCUCAUGAGUACAAUUCAAUGACAUUUUGGAAACUUAACAACUUGUAUAGCUAUCACACACACCAAAAAGUUUAGAACUUCUUAUCACCUGCCCCCCAAAGAAUGCCUACUUUCUAUUAAGACUCCUUCACUGUAGAAUAUUUUCUACAUCAAGAAAGGAAUCUAUAGUAUUACCUCCUUUUCUUUCAAGCCCAGAACCAUUCAUCUACUUUCUGAAUUUAUGUUGGAUAUUUUGAGUAAAUAUUAUCAUACAAUAUGUGGUCUCUUAUAUCAGGCUUCUUUCAUUUAGCAUAAUGCUUGAGAUUUCACUAAUAUUAUAGCACAUAUCCCUCUUAUUAUUACCAAAUAGUAUUUUGCCAUAUGGCUAUAACAAGUCACCAAUAGGUGGAAAUUUAGGUCAUUUCAAAUUUGUUUAUUGUAUCCCAUGUUUUUUGAUAAUGAUAAAUAACAUCAAUGUGCAAGUCUUUGUAUGGCCAUAUAUUUUCAUUUUCAUGGUAGAACCUAUGAGACUUAUUAGAUUACAUGUUGAAUUAAGUUUAAUUUCUAAGAGACCUGUAAAAAUGUUUUCCAGAGUGGUUAUGCCUUUUUACAUCCCCAACAGCAGUAUAUGAGGGUUCCCAUUUCUUCACAUCCUCAUUAACAUUUUUAUUAUCUUUUUUUAUUAUAGCCAUUCUAGUGGGUAUGAAAUGGUAUCUCAUUGUGGUUGUAAUUUGCAUUUUGGUAAUAACAAAUAAUGUUGAGCAUCUUUCCUUGAGCUUGUUAGCUAUUCUCAUAUCUUUUUUUUUCAUGAAAUAUCUAUUCAAAUAUUUUCAUUUUGUGAUUGGAUUGUUCAUCUUAUUAUUUCCAAGGUGUUCGAGCUAUUUGUAUAUUCUGGAUACAAGUCAUUUAUCAGAUAUGUAUUUUGCAAUUAGUUUCUUCUACUCUCUCCCUUGCCUUUUAAUUUUGUUAAUGAUGUACUUUAUAUGCAUAUUUUACUAGUAUAAUAAUUUUUAAUCAGAGACUAUUCUUGUUAAACUUUAAUUUCAAAGAUGUUUGGGUACUAAUACAGGGAUGUGGGUGUGGGGGUUGUUUUGUUUGGUUCAGUUUGUUUUUUUGUGAUCCUGGGGAUUGGACUCAGGGACUCAUGCGUGCUAGGCAAGUGCUCUAUCACUGAGCUAUAUCCCUAGUCCACUAGUCCAGAUUUUCAACAGCAAUUUAAAAUGUAAAAAAAAAAAAUAUAAAAAGUUGAGGUCAUGAUGAAAUGAAAUUAAGUGUUAGGAAUCAUAAGAAAAGACAACUUAGAAAAAUAGAUUCAGUGAAUAAACAAUUUAUAGAAGAAAUAUGGCCAAGGAACAUAUGAAAAAUAUUCACAACCUCAUUAAUUAAGUCAGAUUAAGAAAACUAAAACAAACAAUACUGAGAUAUUUCACACUUCUGAAACUGGCAAAAAGUAAAAGUCUGAUAGCCUCGAGGGUUGAGCAGUGUGGAGCAGCAGAUGCUUUUCCUCACAGCUGGCAGGAGUACCUGGAACAACCACAUCUAAAAAUGAUUCAGCAGUUUUUAGUAUGGUAGAUGCUCAUUCUUUUCACCAAACUCCCCCCCACACACACAAAAAACCCUUGUAAAAAUUCUCACCAUACAAAAAUCAAUUGCAUUUCCACACAUUAACAAUAAACUAUUUGAAAAAUAAAGAAAAAAAAUUCCAUUCACAAUAGCAUCAAAAAGAUGACAUCAGUUAUGUUUUACCAAGGCAGUAAAAAGUCUGAACGCUGGCACCGGCAAGGUAGACGGAACUGUGAUCACCCACAGAACAGGCCCAGCGGCCUGCUGAGGGGCAGAGCCGCCCCCCCACGCCCCACGCCUGCCAGGUAGGCAGAACUGUGACCACCGACAGAAAAGGCCCAGGGACCCACGGAGGGGCAGAGCUGCCAACCACUCCUGCAAGGUAGGCGGGCCUGCGACCCACCAUCAGAACAGGAGCAGCGGUCUGCUGAGAGGCAGAGCCACCCCCUCCCCCCGCACCGGCAAGGUAGAUGGAACUGUGACCACCCACAGAACAGGCCCAGCGGCCUACUGAGGAGCAGAGCCGCCCCCCACCCCCCGCGCCUGCCAGGUAGGGAGAACUGUGACCACCAACAGAAAAGGCCCAGUGGCCCGCGGAGGGGCAGAGCUGCCAACCACUCCUGCAAGGUAGGCGGGUCUGCGACCCACUGGCAGAACAGGAGCAGAGGCCUGCUGAGAGGCAGAGCCGCCCCCUCCCCCCGGGCCGGCAAGGUAGACGGAACUGUGACCACCCACAGAACAGGCCCAGCGGCCUGCUGAGGGGCAGAGACGCCCAAUACCCCACCCCACCCCCACGCCUGCCAGGUAGGCAGAACUGUGACCACCGACAGAAAAGGCCCAGUGGCCAGCUGAGGGGCAGAGCUGGCAACCACUCCUGCAAGGUAGGCGGACCUGCGAACCACAGGCAGAACAGCCCCAGAGGCCUGCAGAGGGGCAGCGCCGCUGCCUGCACCUGCAAAGUAGGCAGAACUGCGACCACCAACAGAACAAGCCUAGCAGCCCGCAGAGGGACAGAGCCGCCGCCCGCGCCUGCAAGGUAGGCGGACCUGCUACCAACCGGCAGAACAGGCCCAGCGGCCUGCCGGUGUG